rnacentral:snoRNA from 1 species
UCAAGCCAGUGAUGAUAAAAGUUAUCCCUGUCUGAAAAAUAAAAACCUUUGUGGAGUUAUGGUAACCUGAGGCUUGG